rnacentral:misc_RNA from 1 species
AAAGAUCGCAGCCUUCGGCAGCUCCUACAGGGGAUCGUAUUCCUCUGUAGGAGCUGCCGAAGGCUGCGAUCUUU